UGAGGUCAUAAUGCUACCUUUGUUGUCACUGCCACGUCUUGCAAAUGUUUCCACCAUCACAUGCACGGAGACGGCUUGAUGCCAUGAGAGAGUCUACAGAGAAAUACACGGUUCUUUUGUUCAGGAAGAACACAACAGCCAGACUUACUUAUUACAGGAGUUUUCUUCUUUACCCUCUGUAAAGCUGCCUUGACUCUCAGAUCAGCUUGUGUCCAUCAUCAAACAUCUUUUAUUCUUCUAAGUAGGAAACUUUAAAUUUAACCAAGUAGAAUCUUAGCCAUGAGGAAUUUACACAUCGUGGUGCAGAGAGAGAACACCUGCUCCUGGAUAUCAGCAUCUGUUCCAUAUUGCCCUGUGUGAAUUUCUGCACUUUCUGGUCCUUGGAUGAGGUCAGCCAACCACACUGUCAUUUGCUUAGAUGUCUGCUUUUCUGGAAUUCUCCAAUUGCUAGUCAACACAAUCUCUAUUUUCCUUGACUUGACUCUCAAGGAUCUCAGAUACAUGGUUUCAUUUUUGUCUAUCCCUAGUCUUGUGGGCUUGUAAGAAACACAGAUGAUGUUCAAGACUGCAGAGACUCAGUAAAUUUCCUCAAGCCUUUUCUGCCUCAGCAAGUCAUGCCGGCGUCUCUACACUUCUGCUGCUACCACUGGCUGGCACACAUCAGGAAAAGCCCACACCCUGCUUGUUCACUUUUCCGAGAAAGCGGAGUGCACAGCUCUGUUUAGAUUAUCUCAGCUAAAGCCUAAUCCAACCAAUGGCUCUCUGGAGAUGGGGCCAGGGCCAUCCAAUGUCCCUGUACAGAGAACCUCACUGUACUCUUCCCUCUAAUUUCUCGUCUUCUUCCCAACCUGUGGAAUUUUAAAUACAAUCUAGGUGGCUGGGGAGGAAAAAGCCUAGCUCUUACUAUAUAUUCUCUCUUUAUUGUUUAGACAGGGAAGCUUGGCUCUUGCUAUUCAAUAGAUACACGUGAAAACUCAAAAAAAUUUUGUCUCAAUGACAUGGACUUGACUUUGAGGCUCAAAAGUCUACUUUAAAACAACAGCAACAAGUAUGCUCAGUAGAUUCCUUGUAUUACUACUGUAAGAACUCUACCCCGAGGGCAGAUAUUGUGUGGCCUCAGGCAUUUGGGUAAAAGUAAGAGAUACUAAUUAGUCCUUCAUGUGUGCCAAGGCAGCAGUUCAUGUUUCUAUCAUUCUUUUAAACGAAUAGUAAACAGAUCUAAAAUAAAGAUACCAUUUUU